ensembl:snoRNA SNORD59A small nucleolar RNA, C/D box 59A
CCCUCCAUGAUGAGUCAAAUAAUGUGACUUUCGUUCUUCUGAGUUUACUGAAGCCAACAUUGUUUCUCUGAGAGGG